AGAGACAGCAGCCGCCGCGGGAAAACGGAGGGGGCUAGCGUUGUUCGGAAUUACUGGGCGUAAAGCGCACGUAGGCGGCUUGGUAUGUUAGAGGUGAAAGCCCGGAGCUCAACUCCGGAAUUGCCUUUAAGACUGCCGAGCUAGCAGCUGAGAGAGGUAAGUGGAAUUCCGAGUGUAGAGGUGAAAUUCGUAGAUAUUCGGAAGAACACCAGUGGCGAAGGCGGCUUACUGGCUCAUACUGGACGCUGAGGUGCGAAAGCGUGGGGAGCAAACAGGAUUAGAUACCCGCGUAGUCCCUGUCUCUUAUAC
rnacentral:rRNA from 1 species